rnacentral:rRNA from 1 species
ACCCGCUGAAUUUAAGCAUAUCAAUAAGCGGAGGAAGAGAAACUAACAAGGAUUCCCCCAGUAACGGCGAGCGAAGUGGGAACAGCUCGAGCCUGAAAUCCCUGGCAGGUGCUGCCAGAGAAUUGUGGCCGGGAGAGGCGGCAUGGCCCCGACUGUCGCUGUCGAAGUUGACCUGGAAAGGCACGUCGGAGAGGGUGAGAGCCCCGUGCGCGACACCGACGGGAAGGGCCGCUUCCGUCUUCUGAGAGUCGGGUUGUUUGGGAAUGCAGCCCAAAGUGGGUGGUAAACUCCAUCUAAAGCUAAAUACCGGCACGAGACCGAUAGCGAACAAGUACCAUGAGGGAAAGGUGAAAAGUACUUUGAAAAGAGAGUCAAAAAGACCGCGAAACCGUUAGGAGGGAAACGAAU